AGGUGUUAUUUCAUAGAUUAUUAUUAUCCAUUAUCCACUGACCGCUACAUUGAAAAAGUUGUGGUCCUCAAUCGUAAAGAGGAAUUCAUAAUCAAUAUUCAAUAUUGUAUUAUAAUCUACUUAUACUCCUGCAGCAGUACAUUAGAGCUACUGACGCACUUGUUGCUUUUUGUGCAAUAUUCGUUUUGUUCAUUUUUUCCACGUGGUCUUACACGGUUUUGGCCUAAGUCCUCAGGUAGUUUUAAGCGACGAGUGAUUCAUAUUUUGUAAUGGCUAGUGUACUUGUGGUUGGUGGUGGAGGUCGAGAACAUGCAAUUGCCUGGAAACUGACACUUUCUUCAAAAGUAAGAA